GCCAGGAGCGGUGACGCACGCCUGUAAUCCCAGGGGCUCUGGAGGCUGAGGCAGGAGGACCGCGAGUUCAGAGUCAGCCUCAGCAAAAGUGAGGCAGGUGCUAAGCAACUCAGCGAGACCCUGUCUCUC
rnacentral:sRNA from 1 species